UCUUAGAGCUCCGAAGAUGGUGGCGGCCUGCUCCCAAGGUGGCAGCAAGACUUUUGUUCUCUCACCUGGGGUUCUUGGCCUCCUGGAUUCCAAGGAAUGGAACUUUGGGCCAUGCGAUUACUGUUGUGAUUACUGUCUCCUGACUGGACCCUGACUGCUAUAGAAUUGGUACCUGAAAGUGUCACAGAAGACAGAUUCUAAAAGGGUCUGGCUCUGUCAUGCAGGCUGGAGUUCAGAGGCACAAUCUUGGCUCACUACAACCUCCACCUCCUGGGUUCAAGCAAUUCUCCUGCCUCAGCCUCCCGAGUAGCUGGGAUUAUAGGCACUCACCACCUCGCGCAGAUAAAUAUGCUGAGGCAUGUUUUCAAGGAGGGGAGAUGGAUUCCUUUUCCUCAGCCUGGCACAGAGCCGACCUGCAGUGUAGCACUGUGGUGACCUGGCAGGAUCUGCUCUCCAGUCACUCCUGCGGGCCCUUCUGGGGACAAGGAGACUUUUCUGUGUGGCCUGUUGAUUUGAGAUCGAGGCUAUCAAGCUACAGAUGAUCUUACAAAUGGAACCCCAAAUGAGUGCAACUAACAACUACCAAGGACCCCGGGACCAACCCGCUGGCCCUUUCAGUGGCCUAAAGAGUUCCUCCCUGGAGGACACUACAACUGCAGGGUCCCUUCUUUGCCCCUAUCCAGCAGGAAGUAGCUAGAGUGGUCAUCACCCAAUUCCCAGUAGCAGUUGGGGUGUCUUGUUAAGUGGGGAGAUUGAGAGGUGAAGCCAGCUGGGCUUCUGGGUUGGGUGGGGACUUGGAGAACUUUUCUGUCUAGCUAGAGGAUUGUAAACACACCAAUCAGUGCUCUGUGUUUAGCUAAAGGUUUGUAAAUGCACCAAUCAGCACUCUAUAAAAAUGGACCAAUCAGCACUCUGUAAAAUGGACAAAUCAGCACUCUGUAAAAUGGAACAAUCAGUAGGAUGUGGGUGGGGCCAAAUACAGGAAUAAAAGCUGGCCACCCGAGUCAGCAGUGGCAACCCACUCGGGUCCCCUUCCAUGCUGUGGAAGCUUUGUUCUUUCGCUCUUCACAAUAAAUUUUGCUGCUUCUCACUCUUUGGGUCCACACCACCUUUAUGAGCUGUAACACUCACUGCGAAGGUCUGCGGCUUCACUCCUGAAGUCAGCGAGACCACAAACCCAUGGGGAGGAACAAUCAACUCUGGACAUGCCACCUUUAAGAGCUGUAACACUCACUGUAAACGUCUGUGGCUUCACUCCUGAAGUCAGCAAGACUACGAAUGCACUGGAAGGAAGAAAUUUCGGACACAUCUGAACAUCUGAAGGAACAAACUCUGGACACGCCAUCUUUAAGAACUGUAACACUCACCGUGAGGGUUCACGGGUUCAUUCUUGAAGUCAGCAAGACCAAGAACCCACCAGAAGAAACCAAUUCCGGACACAGACUCACUGCAACCUCCACCUCCUGGAUUCAAGUGACUCUCCUGCCUCAGCCUCCUGAGUAGCUGUGCCUACAGGCACGAGCCACCAUGCAUGGCUAAUUUUUUGUAUUUUUAGUAGAGAUGGGGUUUCACCAUGUUGCCCAGGCUGGUCUCCAACUCCUGAGCUCAAGUGAUCCACCUGCUUUGGCCUCCCAAAGUGUUGGGAUACAGGUCUGAGCCACUGUGCCCGGCCUCCCCUGGAUUAGUUCUUACAGGAAUAGAUUAGUUCUUGCUAGAGAAGGUUGUUAUAAAAGUGAGAUUGCCUCUAGUGUUUUGUAUCCUCACAUAUGUCUGCUUACCUCUUUACCUCUACCUAUGUUAUGACCCGGCAUAAAAGCCCUCACCAGAAGCCAAGCAGAUGCUGAUGCCACACCCCUUGGACUUCUCAGUCUACAGAGCCAUGAAACA